rnacentral:snRNA from 13 species
AAACUUACCUGAAGCUGUGUUCAUGGUGAUCAGAAAUGCUAUGACACUUGGUGGAUGCUCACCAUUGCACCUCAGUGAGUUGAAUUCGGAAUGAACUCUAAUCGGGUGUGUAGUUAUUGUCAGUGCUCCCAGGUUUUCCAUGGUGGUC